rnacentral:lncRNA from 1 species
GGAAGCUCUGGGCAUUCCGGAGGGACUUCAGAGUCACAGAGAGCCUUGGACUUCGUACUCAAACAAACCAACUCUGAAAAGACAGGAGACAACCAGGGAAAUUUCAACACUGCUAGCAGAUUAUCACAAAGAAUUCAAGGGUCGUGUUUUAGGUUUGGAAGAGUCCCUAUUCUGUACAGCCACGCACUGAGGCAAGAGCACAAGGAAACAAGCAGAAGGAAUUCAGAGAAACAGCUCCAGGCUCCAGCUCAAAGGCCGACACCAAAAGCGAACACCUCUGGGCGCUCUUGCCUUCAAGAAGGUGGGGAGGCUCACAGACGCAGCAUCCACCCCUCGCAGGGAACCUCAGUUCCUGGCCUGUGGUCCCAUGAAGGACAUCAGGCUGGCAGAUUGGAGCACACCCCUUCUUUCUAACCCCUCUUGAAAGCUUCCU